rnacentral:lncRNA from 1 species
CCAAGGACCCCGGAUAAACGACUUACCGCCAAGAUCGCAAGAUUAAGUAAACACAAAUCACACACCAACAUUUGCAGCGGAAAUAAAUUCUUUAUUACAAAAUGAUUACAUGUUACAAUAAGUUUACAUUAUACAAUUAUCGGAGUGAUUACAAAAGAAAAUGAUUAAAAAGAAUUACAAUUUGAAUGUAUAAAACAUUUAUAAGUUUUAAAAUACAUGCUAGCUUAAGUGACAGUCCUCAAUAAAGAAGCUAAAGAUGUGAUAUACUUAUAUAAGAAGGCCGAGCCCACCGGCACUUAGCACCAUCCACAACAGAACAAACUUAUAAUCCUGAAAAACAACAGGGAAUAAAACCCUGAGUAUGCAAUUACUCAGCAAGACUUACCCGACUAAAGAAAAGACUCUCAAGGGUAUGCUGGUUUGUUGGGAAUCAAGGUAAAGCUCAUCAAAUUUCAAAGACUCGUUUUUGCAGAAAAGCUUACUAGUAGUGGAUCCUUAUGCCAAACUUUUACUUCACAAAUUAAGUACUUUUCCUGAAUCUAGAUUUGCCUAAUCUAGAGCAUUCACUUGUCCUACACUAAAUUCAUUUUAGCAUCUUUAGUUUCACUUGUUAUCUACGAUGAGGGUCGAAGAUCCAGUCUUCAUAUCCGAGAAGUUCGGCGAUCCGAAUCGAUUAAUACCCAGCUGGGGAUCUCCAACCACACGACAUAUGUAGCACUUAACCCUUGCAUAUGUCAACUCGCCACCGAGUUUCUCAAGACCAGAAUGGGUCCCCGCCAACCGAGAGCUCAGUACCCCACCAUCCAGCCUCUUGCCAGGUGGAUACACGAUACUCUCGCCAUCUCUCCACUCCCAUUGCGGGCUGGCCUUUUUGGUAUUGGUCCAGCCGAGGCUAAGCUUACCCAUGAUGAGGCAUGUGGCUAGUUAAAGGGUCCUAGAUCAGCAGGCCAACAAUCGGAACGGUCCUUAAUCGACACAGACAGGCGACCUUUCCUGCUCAACGUCUGGUCUCAUCUUAUUAUUUAACACUCAAACCAUGUACCUGACAGAGGUACAAUACUCGAAUAAUGAAUUCAUCAUUGCGAGCGAUGCCUUCAUUAUUGCAAGUUCUUUUUCAUAAAACCCAUAUCCAGUGUUGCACAACAUUCUUUUUAAAAGAAACACUUUUAGUUUCUAAGCAGGGCUAAGCCUCAUUAGUUCUCUUUAUAAAACAGGUAUCAAGGAAUAGUAAUCGAAUUCCAAGGAAUGGCAAUCCAUCAAUUGUUUCAUCACUCAACUCCUAUCACCUAAUGCAGCAUAUAAGUGAUAAAAGUUUUAAAACAACAAGGAGGUGGCAAAUGCACCGGGGCUUGCCUGGGAUAAACACUACGUUAGUGUUGUUAAUUGACGACCACUUGGUGAGCAUCUUCCAUUCUGGUGUUGGCUUGAUGCAUCCACAAGAUUAAUCCACCAAUACCAUCUUAUGGUUCGCUCUGAUCCAUGUCCUUCAGCUCGCAUAAUCAUCUAGCGUACCUAUUGGAAAUGCAUAAUGCAUAUAAGCAUGGACAUGAAUAGCAUGAGAUAGAUAUUCUAUACUAAAGAGGGUAAACACUUAAAAAAUUUAUCACAACUCCUAUGAGCACACUAGAUGUGAAGAUAUUACUAUGUACCACAAGCGCAUCUUUUACACUUAAAUAGGCCUAACGCAAGUAUCAAGCACUCAUAACACACUUAUAAACAUAUGACAAUCGAAUCAACUCAAUAAUACUAGAUAUAAAUGUCUACUAACCUUCUUCGCAUUAUUGAUUUCAUUAUAACCACACAAGGUCUAAUUAGCUACUAGUUCCAAUACAUUCAUCAAAGUAUUAAUUCCCAAACUAAUUGGUUUAAAGCACACAUUAAGAAAGAAAAACUCAACCAUGUGCAACAAGACAUUUGGAUAAACAUUUCAAAUGUCAUAAGUCUUCAUCACUCAAGAAUCAAAAAUUGAUUACUCCUACAUAGCCAAACAGGAAUCAAACCAAAUACCCCAUUGCAGAUUUUCUGGACAGCAUUCAGCAGUCAACGGUUUUGCUCAUAACUCACAAGAUAUUCAUCCAAAAUAGUGAAUUAAGACUUUCUAGAAAGCUUAUAAAUCCCCUAUAAUUUUUGUAUUAUCAGCAUAACAUGAUUCGGCAUUUUGAAAGGUCAAUCAGUGCUAAACGUAAAUUUUGUCUAGAUUUGGACAUAAUUCGACUACUCACUUCAAAAAUCCAUAACUGGAUAUUUAGACGUCCAAAACAUGUGAUCCUAGACUUUUUAGAAAGCUAAUAAAAUUGUCUACAACUCAUUUAUAAUCAUCUCCAGUUAAUUCAAUGCGUAGAAAGGUCAGUUAACACAAACAGUCUCUUCUGUCCAGAUUUGGACAGAUUCAGACUUCAUAUUUCAAACAGCCAUAACUUGACUUCUAGACCACCAAAAAGGGUGCUCCAAAAUUUGUUGGAAAGCUUAAGAAAAGUACUACAAUUCUCCUAUAAUUACUAAGAGCUGAUUCUCAAUUUAACUUAGCCAAACAAUCCAAUUUCCGGAACCUGUACAGAAUUUAGACAGAUUCUAAAACUGGACCUGGAAAAAUCAUAACUCUCAAACUACUAGACCUAUGACCAUGAUAUUUUUAUACCAGUAAGAUGAAGAAGUUAUCUACAUCUUUUAUAUAUAACACAUUCACAGAAAACUUGGUUUACUUUACUAAACUAACUGCUUACGUAAAACUGGUAAUGCAGCAUUAAACAGCAAGCAUCACACAUGUUCUUAAAACUUAGAAUUCUCUAGUACUUUAUUAUAAAUUAAAGCUAAGAUCACCUACUUAAUUACACUAUACAUAUACAUAUUCACCCAAGUAUAUUCCACAUAAUAUAUCAUCACAAAAAGAACUCGUCUUAAUCAUACUACACAUAUACCUAAAGAAUUUACUCUCCUUUGACAUGUUCAUUCACCAACUAUCACACAUGUGGACAACAAUGAAUCUGAAAGUCGACACACCAUAUGCUUGCGCUACAAACAAGAAAAUCAUCGACCACAACUCUAAUCAAUACAACGAUCAAAUUAACUAAAUAGAGUAGCGAAUAGGCUCACCAAUUCACAAACCGACCCGAAGAUCCGCGAGAAAGGCGAGGUUCCCGGUUCGGACCUUCCAUCGAACACUUGGCAAACGUCGCACGGACCUCACUUCUUUACCGGUUAACUCCCUCAUCAACACACACAAUUCACACAUUAGUAAUCGACGUCGAGCACUAAAGCGACAGGGCAAGAACAGAACCUCACCGGGGGUCGACGGUGUCGCAGGUGGGGCUACACACAACACAAAACUCCUCAUGGUCAUUUCGUCGAGCACCAGAGAGAUGGUGCAAACACCAGUAGAAAGGGGCUGGAUGAGCACCAUGUGCCAUAGGAGAGGCUGAGUGCUUGCAGCAGCAGGGCCGAAGGGGAAGCUGUGGCUGGGGCAGGGGCGAGGUCGGUCACCAAGGAGAUGGCUGGGGCAGCGACGGCUAUGGAACCUAGCAGGGGCAUCGAGUAAAGGGGCUGGCAUCCAGGGCACCAUGGAAAAACUCGGCUAGGGCUUGAGGGAGGAGGGCAGAGAGCUGCUGGCGAGCUGGACUGAGGGCAGGCGCUAAAACUUGUGCUCGCAGAGGUGAUGAGGGAUGGAGAUAAGGCCGACAGGCAACAUGGAGACGUGCGUCCAGCUCUUGAAAAGAUAAUGCCGACAACGGAUAAACUAGAAGCUAGAAACGAUGGGAUAAGUCUAGAGGAAGAUAAGGACGUGUGGGAGUAAGACAUGCCGCUUCAGGGAUUUUGGCCACGUAAUAGUAAUGCUGGCGGUGGAUGAAAUUUCCAAGGAAAUCAAGGAACAUACGAGAGACACUUUCUGGGAGCCAUUGUUUAUGUAGGAUGAGGAUUAGUUGAAGAUGGACACUUAGAGGUAAGAAAAUUCAGAUUUUCCUUCUCCAAUCUUUAACCAAUAGAAUACCCCAAAUAAGUGAAAAUCUGGGAUUUGAAUCCGAGCGAGAUGCAAACAGACCCAUCAAAACAAAAUCAAUUUUAAUGUUUUUAGACUACACUAACACUGGUAGGUAUUUUUGGGAUCAGACAAAUUUCCACAGUUGUAGACAGUGGAACAGAUUAAUUACGAAUACUCAGUUCGGUUUUAAUUAUCGUGGUCCAAUUAAAUCUCGCAUCAACGCCCUUGUCGCCGAGCUUCUAAUAAAAUUUACUCGGGUAAAAAAUCACAAGAGUGGGUCGAGAUUCCAAAUUAAUGUUUCCUUUAUCAAUAAAUUUUUAAACAGACACAAGACUCGACAUUUCGAAAAUAAAUACGCGAGAUCGAUAUGGCAUCGAACUUGUGAUCCUUUCAAAAGCGACGACACACAUCGUUUACGUGGGCGAGAGGUUGUGCGCUGUCCAGACACCGGUUAAUGCUCGCCACACGUCACAAUGCCAGACCGCAGAGGGACGCGCACGACGCAGGCGCGAGAGAAUUAAAAAAAUGGAUUCUACAGAACCAGAUCCGAUUUCAAAGGUUAGAGUUUGGGCAAGACGUCGAUGGCUCAACCCAAACGAUAUUGGAUCUGAUGUUUCGGAAGAUUACUAAAGUCUGAAUUUUUGCAAACUAAAUUAGGACAAUUUAAACAUAUGGAGACAAACACGAUAUCAAAAUCGUGAUAGACAAAGAUGAUUAAAAAUUUAGUGACAUUUACAUUCACCGCUAUCAUGUGUUAACGUCCGCACUCGUGGUCAAGAAGACGACAAACACCUGGGGUGUUACAGCCUUCCCCCCUUAAAAGAAUCUCGUCCCGAGAUUCAGAACGAAAGACUUCUAAGAGUAGAGAGGCAUAUAACCCUAUCCAUAAUAGUGAUAGCAUAAGCUAAUUCCAAGCAAAGACGAUUAUCUCAAGAUCUCAAGUGAGUGUAGCAUGUAUCAUCUUUAUGCUAAUUAGAGAUGCCAACAAUAGAGACGAUGAUUGGCAGAAGAACACCUAAGGUUCCAUGUGUGCAGUUUGCUUUUCCUGAUAACACUGUAAUAUCUGAGUCUGGUGGGCGAGCGGUAGAUAUACGACUUUACCCAAACAGAACCAGAUGCAACCUCUUGGGUAAAUCACACAGAAAGAGGUUUACCAACAAGUGGUCACAGUAAGUUCAUAGCACACUAGACGGGUGUGAAUGUCGAAUAACAUCACAGUUAACUCGUGUUAGCCAGAAAAUCCAAGUCCAAUGAUGCUAAUGGAGACUCAAGGAAACAUCAGUGAAGAUUAUCAACAACUGUUGGCUUCACAAUCAAUCCACUUUUUUGAGCACUAAGCAUGACUCGACCUGAUCACAUAUGCUGGAAAAGCACACGUGAGUCGAUCAAGGCACGACUAGAGCGAUAAUUAGGUGACUAUCAGUCGAUUUUAACUUGAUCUUUGUAAGAACUUUCUUAGGAUGGGUUGAACCAAAGUGAGUUUAGCCAACUCGACAAAACGAUCUCUAAACUCAACCUUUGUUCAUAGGGCAGUUACAAGUUAGUAAAACCAACUUGUUGAACUACUUUUGAUAUUGAGCAGGUCCUCUCAGUACCACCGGUAAGCCAAGGGUUGAGAGUUCACUCUUAUUAACAGUUGAUCAUGCAUUUGGGCAGGAAUCCAUUUGGUCGGUUGUUCAUCCGUUUCUUCUAUACAAGAUGAACCGACUUGGUUAGGGAAUACAUGGAUUGAAUAAAAGAGCGAAUGAACAAACUCCUGCAUUUCAGUGGCAGGGGAAGCAGAUCUCCAUUUUGAGAGCUAAUCAGUUGUUUUCCAACACUAAAAAGCUCCAAGGCUUCACCUUUACACAAAGGACGUAAAGGGAACUUGUAUGAGUAGUCACUACCAAGAUCAAAAGGAAAGAGACCACACAUGAAAGUGGUAUGCUCUUUUUAUCCAACAGAGAUGAUAGAUGUUGCUUGAUCAUUUGACAAACAACAUAGAAAUUGUUUCAAGGGAGGAGUCCACGGAAGAUCACACAUCAGUGUAGUUCCACAAUGGAUCAUGACCAGAGACCUUGAUACCAGCAUCCGACGAGUAGCACAAUCCUGUGUGCGCAUUCAUAGGAGGCUCUCAAUUUCGCUGCGGCACCAUGAGUCCUUAAUCGUGUCACCAUUACCGAACAAGGGUAUGGUUUAGGAUGAACAUAUGACCAUAAGAGAGCUACAAGUGGAUUGUCAAGAUUACAGACUUGAGAUCCUUGUUUUUAAGUUUGAGUGCAUCUUAGGUCCAAUAAGGGAAUUACCUAAACAUCUAUUUGUAUUUGCAUGAGUUUGGCCAUGGAGUAGGAAUCGAUAAUUCAAACUCAUGCAUAUUUUGAAGAUUUAUAGGGACUUUGAAGAAAUGACAAAAUUAUGAAUUAGAUCUCAUACAAUUUCAAAUAUUGAGAUGAUGAGGACAUGACUUGAUCUAAUUGCUAGAACUCCAAAGACCUCGUGAAGAAAAUGAUCUUCACACAAGAUGACACCUAGGAUAAGUUGUCAAGAAAUUAAUACACGUUUAGAUCAAGUUUACUAAACAAGGACAUAGCUUAGCUUUGGGUUUACGCAAACAAACUAUCAACAUUCUACCGGCACACAGGCACAAAAAUAAACAUAAGUUGCACUAUCGGUCAAACUAAGAAGAACCACAGACCACAUAAACACAUGUCUAAAGGACACAUCAAACAAAGCUAGAAAUUGCUUAUAGGACAGUAAUGCUUCACACAUUUUCCAAUUAUUUAUUAUCGAAAUAAAGAUGAGGGAAGCACGUUCGUUCACAAUCACCAAUUAUCAGAAUAAGGGUGAGAAAAGUAUAUUUGUGCACAAACAACAAACACAAUGCAAUAAUCAGGAUGCAUGAUCGUCUUAUUCGUCCUCACGAAUUUUGCCAACAUAAUGUGGCAAUAGCGUUCUAUAUCGGUGGCAUAUCUACGUUCUCUCUCGGUAUAUUGCUAGUCGUCAGCUACACAUACGUUUCGAAGUUAGUGUACCUGCAGAAAAUUCCAUCACAGCCCAUUUCCCAAUGAUGCAAUUCACACAUGACAGUUUAUCUCAGUAUAUACUCCAUAUAUUUCUAUAUGGAGGCCAGCUCUUCAUUAAGCGCCGAGCCACGCAUAGGCGCCGCUGCCACACUUUAACCAUAGGGCAGCUCAUUAUGGUAACUCACCUUUUUACCUAAGCGUAGGUGCGUCGUUGCGAGUACAUUACACUUCUCAGUAUUCCCAUGUCUGCAUACCCAUACACAUCCAUGGGGUACUGAAUCCCAGAAAAUUAAAUACUCCACAUCGCAGCCUUCAUAUAUACAUAUGUAAAAUAUGUAUAUAAUCAAGCGUUGUUUAUGCUCUCCCCUAGACCGACGUUUGUCCGGUCACGCUCUCACAUCUCACCUUACUGAAUGGCCUCAAAAACAACAUUACACAUGUAUGCAUCACCCUUCCCAGGUUGUGUGUUAGUAUUCUGAACUAAGCCACCUAGUAGUCCUUAACUUAGGGCUUAUAGAGGAUGUCACUAGCAUUAUAGUUUUUCAAAUCUGUUUUUCAAAACCAAACAAUGUGUUUAGUUGAAAAUAGGUUUUCUAAACCCAAAACUUUUGUUUUGAAAAUACGUAUGUGACCGUAUAUACUUAAUCCUGCUCCGAUACCAGCUGUCGCAGAACCUCCUAAGUUAUAGGGCCCACAUGCACCUGUCCUUGUCUUAAAGACCUCAGACGGAUAUGCAUGUGUACCAAACAACUUAACAGGAUCUGUCCGAGUGUCCCAAGGACCCCGGAUAAACGACUUACCGCCAAGAUCGCAAGAUUAAGUAAACACAAAUCACACACCAACAUUUGCAGCGGAAAUAAAUUCUUUAUUACAAAAUGAUUACGGGCAUGUUUGGUUCGUUACCUCAAUUGCCACACUUUGCCUAACUUUUCUGCCUAAGGUUAGUUAUUCAAUUCGAACGACUAACCUUAGGCAAAGUUGGCACAUUUAGCUACAAACCAAACAUGCCCUACAUGUUACAAUAAGUUUACAUUAUACAAUUAUCGGAGUGAUUACAAAAGAAAAUGAUUAAAAAGAAUUACAAUUUGAAUGUAUAAAACAUUUAUAAGUUUUAAAAUACAUGCUAGCUUAAGUGACAGUCCUCAAUAAAGAAGCUAAAGAUGUGAUAUACUUAUAUAAGAAGGCCGAGCCCACCGGCACUUAGCACCAUCCACAACAGAACAAACUUAUAAUCCUGAAAAACAACAGGGAAUAAAACCCUGAGUAUGCAAUUACUCAGCAAGACUUACCCGACUAAAGAAAAGACUCUCAAGGGUAUGCUGGUUUGUUGGGAAUCAAGGUAAAGCUCAUCAAAUUUCAAAGACUCAUUUUUGCAGAAAAGCUUACUAGUAGUGGAUCCUUAUGCCAAACUUUUACUUCACAAAUUAAGUACUUUUCCUGAAUUUAGAUUUGCCUAAUCUAGAGCAUUCACUUGUCCUACACUAAAUUCAUUUUAGCAUCUUUAGUUUCACUUGUUAUCUACGAUGAGGGUCGAAGAUCCAGUCUUCAUAUCCGAGAAGUUCGGCGAUCCGAAUCGAUUAAUACCCAGCUGGGGAUCUCCAACCACACGACAUAUGUAGCACUUAACCAUUGCAUAUGUCAACUCGCCACCGAGUUUCUCAAGACCAGAACGGGUCCCCGCCAACCGAGAGCUCAGUACCCCACCAUCCAGCCUCUUGCCAGGUGGAUACACGAUACUCUCGCCAUCUCUCCACUCCCAUUGCGGGCCGGCCUUUCUGGUAUUGGUCCAGCCGAGGCUAAGCUUACCCAUGAUGAGGCAUGUGGCCAGUUAAAGGGUCCUAGAUCAGCAGGCCAACAAUCGGAACGGUCCUUAAUCGACACAGACGGGCGACCUUUCCUGCUCAACGUCUGGUCUCAUCUUAUUAUUUAACACUCAAACCAUGUACCUGACAGAGGUACAAUACUCGAAUAAUGAAUUCAUCAUUGCGAGUGAUGCCUUCAUUAUUGCAAGUUCUUUUUCAUAAAACCCAUAUCCAGUGUUGCACAACAUUCUUUUUAAAAGAAACACUUUUAGUUUCUAAGCAGGGCUAAGCCUCAUUAGUUCUCUUUAUAAAACAGGUAUCAAGGAAUAGUAAUCGAAUUCCAAGGAAUGGCAAUCCAUCAAUUGUUUCAUCACUCAACUCCUAUCACCUAAUGCAGCAUAUAAGUGAUAAAAGUUUUAAAACAACAAGGAGGUGGCAAAUGCACCGGGGCUUGCCUGGGAUAAACACUACGUUAGUGUUGUUAAUUGACGACCACUUGGUGAGCAUCUUCCAUUCUGGUGUUGGCUUGAUGCAUCCACAAGAUUAAUCCACCAAUACCAUCUUAUGGUUCGCUCUGAUCCAUGUCCUUCAGCUCGCAUAAUCAUCUAGC